CUUGUUUCUGAUAUUCGAGUCAAAAUAAGAUUUUCUAACAAUGAGUACUCUUAAUCAUCUGUUGGGCACAAAGGGUAAAUUGGAUUUCUGAGGAACUUGAUAAAGAUCAGAUAUAAUCCUGUGCCUUCUGAGCUCACAGUGCAUAAAGCAGCGUCCAAGAGCAAGACAGCCUGUGUAGGAACCCAUGGAUGGUGGGAACAUCAUUUCAAUGUGUGCUUUGAAGACACAGCAUUUAUAAUGUGCUCAGAAAAUGCUUCUUGCUUGAGCUAUGGCUUCAAGCAUAUAUCUCAGUGAUGUUGGAUGUGAUGGGUUGGUGCUGUGGAAUUCUUGUGACUGUGGCCUCAUUGCUGAGAUCCCGUGGAAGAUUCCUGCUUGUGAAACAUUUCUCAAGUGUCUACAUGUUCUAGAAGGGGAAUUUUUCGAAGGUGGCCUCUUCUUCGGAAUAGUCCGAUGGCAUCAGGCCUCUGAAGCAAGGGGAAGGGGAAGAGAAAAAAGCUGAAACACAAGGUUCAUCUGGUUGACAGAAGUCUGAGACUCACUGAGCUGCUCUUGUGGUUAGAGGGCUAAGGAGAGGAAGUCGGGACAAAGCUGCCUUUGUGCUCCCUGAAGAUGGAUCCUUGUCCUACAUCAUGAAACGCAAGUGUCAGACAUAUGGCAAAGCCAUUUUCCUUUUUACCCAGGAGGAUUUGAGUGGGGCAAUGGAAAGGUGAGAGGAAAAUGGGACCAAAAGAAGUAGUAAAGGGGAAAAAUGUAAAAGAUAAGAAAGGCAAAUGAAGCAAAGAAAUGACAUGAAUGAGCAAUUGAAGUGGCAGGAGAGGAAAUGUUACAGGGCCUC
rnacentral:lncRNA from 1 species